AAACAGUAAAUCAUCAUGGGGACAAGUCAUUUGCAACAGCUGAUAUUGGGAUAAAUGGGAAAAGGGCAGUGUUGCUGCAAAGAUCAAGUAGAUAAAGUAUGAAAAGUGGUCUGACCUACACAGAUACAAAGUGAGCUUGUCGGCACUGGGGAGCUAAUCAGGAAAAGGACUGAUGGAAAGAGGAAGAGAGAACAUCUCUGUGGCAAAUCCCUCGUGACUGAGGACCGCAUAUCUGGUUCAUGAGAAUGGAAAAACACCAGCCAAAUCAAAGUUAACAACUGUGCAGCUGGGCAAACUCAGAUUAAGCUGAAUUUGGAAAUGGCUCCCUUGGUAACAAAGACGGACACAGAUCUCACAAGAAAUCAAUCAGCAGUAACUCUUUGAAUGUCUUAGUCCAUUUCAGUGAGUAAGCUUGGAUUUUGAAGACUUCAACAACUUGGCUGCAAGUUGAUGG
rnacentral:lncRNA from 10 species